rnacentral:rRNA from 1 species
GUGCUCCCCCGCCAAUUCCUGGAACUCCUCUAACCCUCCUUCCUAAUUAGGCAACUUCCUCCUCACUGGCGCCUCCGUAACUCUUCCCAAUGGCGCGUCCAAACCGAUCCGAGUCCGUGGCUGCGGCAACUUCUCGUCCUCGUCCUUGACCGUCGCCUACACGGGCCAGGACAGCACCGUCGUGGCCGAAUCCAAUUCAAGUUGUUUGCAGCCGUUUGGGCGGUUAAAUAUCACCCCCGAUCCUAACUCCUGCAACGGCGUCAACGGCCAGCAAGCCGUCCAACAAACAUCGGCAAGGUACCGCGGCCGCGUUUAUCUUUUGAUUCGGACGGACUCCCAGGUGAUGUUUAGCCUGUCCUAGGGCCCACCUUAGGGCCCCCCUUUACUCAUCCCCCGACUUCCGAUGAAGUGAGAGUCUUUGCUACCCUAUCCCCCUCCUGCGCCCUCCUACUUGCUCUCCCUUCAUCGUUCUUGCCCUUCCCAGCGGCCCUUUCUUCUCAUUCUUGUGCUUCUCGGUGGCCCCUUUUGAUUAUAUUUUGUAGUUCGCAAUUGGCGGUGUUGUUCAAUGUCGAUUCGAGUGGGUGCGGGACGCCCUGGUGGAUCUGGUUGGUCGUGGCCUUGGCCAUCAUCAUCGUCCUCGGCAUCGGCAUCUUCCUCAUGGCUUACAAGCGCACGCGCGACAAGCUCUUCCCACACCGAUAUCGCCCAAGGUACUCCCUCUCAUAGGGGCCCCCUACGCCGCCGGUCUUGGGGCCCCCCUCUCUCCCCACCGCUUCCUUGAGUCCGGCAGGAUCAACCGGAG